UUUUGCGGCGGCCUCUAGUUCGCUUGGUGCAGGUCGGGAACUCUAUUCUCCGACGGCGUCGUUAGUAACUUGGUGCGGCGACUGUGCUGUAUAUACCCCAAUCGUACUCGAUAUUGAAGUCGUCGGUUUCGUUGUUUGGCGAAAAUCAGGUUCCCGCCUUGCAUCAACUGAAUCGGAGACCGCGGCGAAU
rnacentral:pre_miRNA from 1 species